GGACGUGAGGGCGAUCUGGCUGCAGCAUCUGUAACCCCACUGAUUGCCAGGGUUGAUUUGGCUGGCUAGGCAGGUGUCCCCUUCCUCCCUCACUGCUCCAUGUGCGCGUCCUUCCCGCACGACCUUCCCCCGAUAGGACUGCCCUUCAGUCAAGGGUAUAUGAGUAGCUGCGGUCCCCUGCUCGAACUUCCAAACAAGUCUCCAUAGGUAAAGCAGAUCGUCAUUAAAUUUGAUCUUGCCUUUAAACUUUGAUACUCCCUAAAAUCAAAUGAU
rnacentral:snRNA from 1 species